rnacentral:rRNA from 1 species
AGAUCCUACGGGGCGCAGCAGUGGGGGAUAUUGCACAAUGGGGGCAACCCUGAUGCAGCGACGCCGCGUGAGCGAUGGAGUACUUCGGUAUGUAAAGCUCUGUCAGCAGGGAAGAGAAUGACGGUACCUGACCAAGAAGCCCCGGCUAACUACGUGCCAGCAGCCGCGGUAAUACGUAGGGGGCAAGCGUUAUCCGGAUUUACUGGGUGUAAAGGGAGCGUAGACGGCAAUACAAGUCGGAAGUGAAAUACCCGGGCUCAACCUGGGAACUGCUUUGGAAACUGUAUGGCUGGAGUGCUGGAGAG